CUCAAGAAACUUAAGGAAUUGACGGGGGCCCGCACAAGCGGUGGAGCAUGUGGUUUAAUUCGAUGAUACGCGAGGAACCUUACCUGGGCUCAAAUGUAUGUUGACGUAUUCUGAAAGGGAUACUUCUUCGGACAAUAUACAAGGUGCUGCAUGGUUGUCGUCAGCUCGUGCCGUGAGGUGUCGGGUUAAGUCCCAUAACGAGCGCAACCCCUAUCAUUAGUUGCCAUCAGGUCAAGCUGGGGACUCUAAUGAAACUGCCUACGCAAGUAGUGAGGAAGGUGGGGAUGACGUCAAAUCAGCACGGCCCUUACGUCCAGGGCUACACACGUGCUACAAUGGCCGGUACAAAGGGCAGCUACCUGGUGACAGGAUGCUAAUCUCAAAAGCCGGUCUCAGUUCGGAUCGGAGUCUGCAACCCGACUCCGUGAAGUUGGAUUCGCUAGUAAUCGCGCAUCAGCCAUGGCGCGGUGAAUACGUUCCCGGGCCUU
rnacentral:rRNA from 1 species